UACGUAGGGUGCAAGCGUUAAUCGGAAUUACUGGGCGUAAAGCGUGCGCAGGCGGUUCUAUAAGACAGAUGUGAAAUCCCCGGGCUCAACCUGGGAACUGCAUUUGUGACUGUAGAGCUGGAGUACGGUAGAGGGGGAUGGAAUUCCGCGUGUAGCAGUGAAAUGCGUAGAUAUGCGGAGGAACACCGAUGGCGAAGGCAGCCUCCUGGGCCAACACUGACGCUCAUGCACGGAAGCGUGGGGAGCAAACAGG
rnacentral:rRNA from 1 species